rnacentral:rRNA from 1 species
GACGAACGCUGGCGGCGUGCUUAACACAUGCAAGUCGAACGGAAAGGCCCUGCUUUUGUGGGGUGCUCGAGUGGCGAACGGGUGAGUAACACGUGAGUAACCUGCCCUUGACUUUGGGAUAACUUCAGGAAACUGGGGCUAAUACCGGAUAGGAGCUCCUGCUGCAUGGUGGGGGUUGGAAAGUUUCGGCGGUUGGGGAUGGACUCGCGGCUUAUCAGCUUGUUGGUGGGGUAGUGGCUUACCAAGGCUUUGACGGGUAGCCGGCCUGAGAGGGUGACCGGCCACAUUGGGACUGAGAUACGGCCCAGACUCCUACGGGAGGCAGCAGUGGGGAAUAUUGCACAAUGGGCGGAAGCCUGAUGCAGCAACGCCGCGUGCGGGAUGACGGCCUUCGGGUUGUAAACCGCUUUCGCCUGUGACGAAGCGUGAGUGACGGUAAUGGGUAAAGAAGCACCGGCUAACUACGUGCCAGCAGCCGCGGUGAUACGUAGGGUGCGAGCGUUGUCCGGAUUUAUUGGGCGUAAAGGGCUCGUAGGUGGUUGAUCGCGUCGGAAUGUAAUCUUGGGGCUUAACCCUGAGCGUGCUUUCGAUACGGGUUGACUUGAGGAAGGUAGGGGAGAAUGGAAUUCCUGGUGGAGCGGUGGAAUGCGCAGAUAUCAGGAGGAACACCAGUGGCGAAGGCGGUUCUCUGGGCCUUUCCUGACGCUGAGGAGCGAAAGCGUGGGGAGCGAACAGGCUUAGAUACCCUGGUAGUCCACGCUGUAAACGGUGGGUACUAGGUGUGGGGUCCAUUCCACGGGUUCCGUGCCGUAGCUAACGCUUUAAGUACCCCGCCUGGGGAGUACGGCCGCAAGGCUAAAACUCAAAGGAAUUGACGGGGCCCCGCACAAGCGGCGGAGCAUGCGGAUUAAUUCGAUGCAACGCGUAGAACCUUACCUGGGUUUGACAUGGAUCGGGAGUGCUCAGAGAUGGGUGUGCCUCUUUUGGGGUCGGUUCACAGGUGGUGCAUGGCUGUCGUCAGCUCGUGUCGUGAGAUGUUGGGUUAAGUCCCGCAACGAGCGCAACCCUUGUUCACUGUUGCCAGCACGUUAUGGUGGGGACUCAGUGGAGACCGCCGGGGUCAACUCGGAGGAAGGUGGGGAUGACGUCAAGUCAUCAUGCCCCUUAUGUCCAGGGCUUCACGCAUGCUACAAUGGCUGGUACAGAGAGUGGCGAGCCUGUGAGGGUGAGCGAAUCUCGGAAAGCCGGUCUCAGUUCGGAUUGGGGUCUGCAACUCGACCUCAUGAAGUCGGAGUCGCUAGUAAUCGCAGAUCAGCAACGCUGCGGUGAAUACGUUCCUGGG